GCGCCGUUAGCUCAGUUGAAUAGAGCAGCCGCCUUCUAAGCGGCAGGUCAUCGGUUUGAGUCCGAUACGGCGUACCA
rnacentral:tRNA from 1 species